GACGAACGCUGGCGGCGUGCCUAAUACAUGCAAGUUGAGCGCUGAAGGUUGGUACUUGUACCAACUGGAUGAGCAGCGAACGGGUGAGUAACGCGUGGGGAAUCUGCCUUUGAGCGGGGGACAACAUUUGGAAACGAAUGCUAAUACCGCAUAAAAACUUUAAACACAAGUUUUAAGUUUGAAAGAUGCAAUUGCAUCACUCAAAGAUGAUCCCGCGUUGUAUUAGCUAGUUGGUGAGGUAAAGGCUCACCAAGGCGAUGAUACAUAGCCGACCUGAGAGGGUGAUCGGCCACAUUGGGACUGAGACACGGCCCAAACUCCUACGGGAGGCAGCAGUAGGGAAUCUUCGGCAAUGGACGAAAGUCUGACCGAGCAACGCCGCGUGAGUGAAGAAGGUUUUCGGAUCGUAAAACUCUGUUGGUAGAGAAGAACGUUGGUGAGAGUGGAAAGCUCAUCAAGUGACGGGAACACCCAGAAAGGGACGGCUAACUACGUG
rnacentral:rRNA from 1 species